UACGUAGGGGCCGAGCGUUGUCCGGAGUUAUUGGGCGUAAAGCGCGCGCAGGCGGCUUCGCGCGCCCGACGUGAAAGCCCCCGGCUUAACCGGGGAGAGUCGUUGGGGACGGCGGAGCUUGAGGGCGGGAGAGGUCGGUGGAAUUCCCGGUGUAGUGGUGAAAUGCGUAGAGAUCGGGAGGAACACCUGUGGCGAAGGCGGCCGACUGGGCCGACCCUGACGCUGAGGAGCGAAAGCGUGGGGAGCAAACAGG
rnacentral:rRNA from 1 species